rnacentral:rRNA from 1 species
CAUUUAGUUGGGCACUCUGGCGAAACCGCCUCGGAUAACGGGGAGGAAGGUGGGGAUGACGUCAAGUCCUCAUGGCCUUUAUGUCCAGGGCCACACACGUGCUACAAUGGUUGGUACAAACCGUCGCAAACCCGCGAGGGGGAGCUAAUCGGAAAAAGCCAAUCCCAGUCCGGAUUGGAGUCUGCAACUCGACUCCAUGAAGCUGGAAUCGCUAGUAAUC